UGGCGGACGGGUGAGUAAUGUCUGGGAACUGCCUGAUGGAGGGGGAUAACUACUGGAAACGGUAGCUAAUACCGCAUAACGUCGCAAGACCAAAGAGGGGGACCUUCGGGCCUCUUGCCAUCGGAUGUGCCCAGAUGGGAUUAGCUUGUUGGUGGGGUAACGGCUCACCAAGGCGACGAUCCCUAGCUGGUCUGAGAGGAUGACCAGCCACACUGGAACUGAGACACGGUCCAGACUCCUACGGGAGGCAGCAGUGGGGAAUAUUGCACAAUGGGCGCAAGCCUGAUGCAGCCAUGCCGCGUGUAUGAAGAAGGCCUUCGGGUUGUAAAGUACUUUCAGCGGGGAGGAAGGGAGUAAAGUUAAUACCUUUGCUCAUUGACGUUACCCGCAGAAGAAGCACCGGCUAACUCCGUGCCAGCAGCCGCGGUAAUACGGAGGGUGCAAGCGUUAAUCGGAAUUACUGGGCGUAAAGCGCACGCAGUCGGUUUGUUAAGUCAGAUGUGAAAUCCCCGGGCUCCACC
rnacentral:rRNA from 1 species